rnacentral:rRNA from 2 species
GAAGGAUGAAAGAACUGUAUUGAGGACUAAAAAGCAAAGACAAGCCCUUAUACCUUCUGCAUAAUGCAUUAACUAGAAAUAACUUUACAUAGAACUAUGGCCAAGUCCCCCGAAACCAGACGAGCUACCCAAGAAUAGCUGAAAGAGCACACUCACCUAUGUGGCAAAACAGUGGGAAGAUUCAUGAGUAGCGGUGACACGCCUACCGAGCCUGGUGAUAGCUGGCUGGCUUAGUUCAACUUUCAACUUACCCACAGAAUUACUUAAACUCCCUGUAAGUUUAACUGUUAGUCUAGAGAGACAGACAGCUCUUUAGACCCUUCCUACAGAGAGUAAAAAACAUUACCACCACAGUUGGCCCAAAAGCAGCCACUAAUUAAGAAAGCAUUUAAGCUCAAUAUCUAACUAUCUUAAAUUCUAACCAGUCUACUGAACUCCUAACAUCACAUUGGACUAAUCUAUUACUUAAUAGAAGCAGUAAUGUUAAUGUAAGUAAGAUGAAGACAUUCUCCAUUGCAUAAGCUUACAUCAGACGGGAGUAACCCACUGACAGUUAACAUCCCAAUAUUAAUAAAUGAUAUAAUAAACACCGUAUUAUUUGCACUGUUAACCCAACACAGGCAUGCUCUAAGGAAACAUUACAAAAAAAUAAAAGGAACUCAGCAAAUCUUACCCCGCCUGUUUACCAAAAACAUCACCUCUAGCAUUACCAGUAUUAGAGGCACUAUCUGCCCAGUGACAUAUAUUCAACAGCUGUGGUAUCCUGACCGUGCGAAGGUAGCAUAAUCACUUGUUCUCUAAAUAGGGACUUGAAUGAAUGGCCACACGAAGGUUCAGCUGUCUCUUACUUUCAACCAGUGAAAUUGAUCUAUCCGUGAAGAGGCGGAUAUAAACAAAUAAGACGAGAAAACCUUAUGGAGCUUUAAUUCAUCAAUGCAAAUAAAAACUCCAACAAGCCUACAGGCCCUAGCCUCCUAUCCCUGCAUUAAAAAUUUUGGUUGGGGUGACCUCGGAGCAUAAUUCAACCUCCUAACAACCUAAGACCACACAAGUCUAAGUGAGUUAUUACACAUCGACCCAAUAAUUUGAUAAACGGAGUAAGUUACCCUAGGGAUAACAGCGCAAUCCUAUACUAGAGUCCAUAUCGACAAUAGAGUUUACGACCUCGAUGUUGGAUCAGGACAUCCUAAUGGUGUAGCCGCUAUUAAGAGUUUGUUUGUUCAAUGAUUAAAGUCCUAUGUGAUCUCAGUUCAGACCAGAGUAAUCCAGGUCGGUUUCUACCUACUUAACAUUCCUCCU